UUUUUGCCCCCAUUAUCCUCCUUUCUGUGUAAACAUUAAUUCAUUUUCUCCCAUCUUUCCUACCCAGCAGAUCUUAAAGAGAGGAAGAGUUUGUAAUAUUCUUCAGGGGAAGCCUUUUGAGAUUGAAAUAUCAUACUUUGAAUGAUAACUCUAUAUCUAUCUAUAAUAUACUAUGGUUUAAUGUUUGGAAAUCAAACGCAGUAUUUAUUUGUCAUGUGAACUACUAAAAGUAAAUCUGCAUGGACUUCUUGCCUGGUGAGUUACACAGAAAAUGAAAGUGAUUAUCAGUGGCUGUGGCAAGAUGAAAGGAACCAUGCCAGGACUUCUGAGGGAAGGAAGAGUGUUUGGGACUGAAAAAUCCUUGUCUGGAUCUAGUCCUCAGCCACUCAGAAGCUGGCAUGCCAUGACUCAAAGAGCCGCCCGUCUGGAAUGAAGACAGUGACCCGUAACUCCCACCUGAAGAGCAGGUGCUUGGAAAAUGCUGCCAGUCCGCAGGAAAAAGUUGUUACUGCUGCUGUCUGUGACCAAGAGGACACUUUAUUUCUUGAAACAACUGGGGGCAAACUGGCUCCCAGAUAAGGCUUCAGUCCCUACUCAUGUGAGGAAACCAGCCCUGCACCUGAGAGUUUAUUCAGUGACGAUAAUACUCACAAGACCCUUUUUGGAUUUGUGGCCCAACCCACAAGUUAUAGUUCCUUCUCUGAAUAUUUCAUCCAGAUUGUGAAGAGCAGCUUCUGGCAGCCACAGUUGUACUAUGUGACCCCUACUUCCCAUGCCCAGGACUGAUUCGACCCCGUAGUAGACACCUAAAGCAAUCCUGAUCAGUCAGAGUCUUUGUUCCUGACAUUUGGGAUUAGAGCAUGGCUGAAGGUUUAAGACACAAACUUGGAAGCUGUGGGGCAGCAAUACACCUCCAUGAGGACAGAGAAGCAGGGGAAAUAAGAAUAAACCAGAAGCUCACAGAAACGCAGGAAAUACUUCUAGAGUUCUAACACUUUUCGGGUUUCUUGUUCUAGUCCAUUCUUGACACACUUGUGCCUCACAGAAGCCAAUGGCAAGAAUGCAGUCAGAUCCUUCCAAUAAAUUCCUUUUAUUCUGUUUACAUUAAAAAAAAAAAAAAAAA
rnacentral:lncRNA from 1 species